UGGACAAGUUGUAUCCACAGUCAGGCA
rnacentral:piRNA from 1 species